rfam:Oryza glumipatula chromosome 6, whole genome shotgun sequence.
AAUAAGUGCAGUUUUAGCACUGUUCAUAUUCAACGUUUGACUGUUCGUCUCAUUUAAAAAAUAAUUAUGAUUAGUAUUUUUAUUGUUAUUAGAUGAUAAUACAAUAAUAGUACUUUAUAUAUGACUAAUAUUUUAAAUUUUUUUAUAAAAUUUUUAAAUAAGACGGACGGUCAAAACGCUGGACACAGAUAUUUAUGGCUGUACUUAGG